CCCCCCCCCCCCCCCCCCCCCCCCCCCCCCCCCCCCCCCCCCCCCCCCCCCCCCCCCCCCCCCCGCGAUUCAAAUCCGGCCAAUCAGCGCGCACGCCUCCGGAUGACGUCAUGACGCACGCAUCACCAUAGCGACGGCCAAGGGGCGCGGCUCGAGGCGCGGGGGCCCCCCCCCCCCCCCCCCCCCCCCCCCCCCCCCCCCCCCCCCCCCCCCCCCCCCCCCCCCCCCCCCCCCCCCCCCCCCCCCCCCCCCCCCCCCCCCCCCCCCCCCCCCCCCCCAGCGGGCGCCCCCUGCUGGUGGCGGUGGUGGAGUGGGAAGGGCCGCGGGUUCGAAUCCCGACCCCGGCUGAUCCCGGUUUUUCCGUUUUUUUUCCUCUUUUUUUUAUCCAUCUAAUUCCAACCUUUCAGGAAAACAGGUGGAACGCAGAUCGUUUUCAGAGCCAGAGCUUCCCUGUGUGCCUGCCUGGAGCUUUUCCAAGGAGGGAUGAGAGAGGUUUGCUGGAAUUUGAUCCCAAAAUUCCUGAAUUUGUUCAGGAUUUGCCAUGGAUCAACAUUCCACUAAGAAAUACCCCGGUUUAUUUCCUUGGAACAACUGGACACGGAGUUUUCAUUUCUCCUGGGAAGGCAAUUGAGCAAAAUCCAGGGAUUUUUGGGUAAAAAAACCUGGAAAAAUCCUCUCCCUGUACCGCUCCAAGAUCCAGCACCACCCAUUCCAUGGGUGGAUCCUGUGGAAUUCUGGCAUUCCAUCCCAGUUUUCCCAAAUUUCCCGGCAUCGCAGAGGACGGGAGAAUUUCAGUUCAAAAGUUGAACGACCUGGAAUAAUUCUGGGAUGAUUCCCGACGUUUUUUCCGGGCUCUUCAACCCCAGCCGGAUUCCUCCCCGGUCACAGCAGCUCCCAAAGUAAAUAAACUCUGGAAUUAUCAGCAAUGAUCUCCAAAGGGAUUCGUUUUCCCAGAAAUAUUUUUAUUAUUGAGCAGAUUAAAACCAGUGAUUUAUGUUAAUUUAAUAAAACUGUAGGAAAAACAAUUCCAGUGCUUAUAAAUAUCCCGAAAAUCCCAGCCAGCUUUCCCAAGAAUUGAUUUAUCCCGUAUUUAACCCGUUCAUCCCAGAUUUUAUUGUGUUAACCGAAAUUCCAGGAGCUCCCAAAGUGCAGCAAAAAAGCAAUUAAAGGAAAUUAAUGGAAGACCAGUGGAAUCAUCCAGGAGAAAAUUCCCAAAGAAUCAAGUGGCAGGAAAAUCCAAGAGGAAAACCUGGAUACUGGAAAAAGCUGAGAGUUCCAGGCUCUUCCUGCAAAACCCAGGAGCAGCAGGGAAGGAAAACAAGGAACAACGCAGGGAAAAUCCUGGGAAUUCUUUAAAACUCCAGGGUGUUUCUAAUCCUGGGAGGUUGGGGCGUGGAGCUCCCCCAGCCCCAGGAUCCAUCCCAGGAAUGCCUGGAACAGGAUGGAAUUCCUUCAUUCCACCCCCCACGCGGGAUUCCCGUGGGAACGAACUUCUCAGGAUUUCCCAGAACCAGACCCUGGAAGAGCUUUCCUGCGGGAACAUCCCGUCGGAGCUCUCCUGGAAUCCCUUUUCCCGGAUAACGAGGAAAAACAGCGGGAAUUAAAACUCCCAUCCCUCCAUCCCACAUUUCCAGGCGCUUGGGCUGAGUGUGAGGCUUGAAAUUCCAAAGGAACUCCACCUCCAAGGGGAAAAUGGGAAUUUGGGAGUGCUUGGCUUCAGCAGGAUGCCAACAUUCCCUGGAUUUCUCCCCAAGGCAGACCUGAGGGAUGCUGGAUUCUUUGGGAAGCAGCAGCACUUCCCUCCCUUUUUCAGGGAUCAAAUCCCGAUUUUUUUUUGACGCUUUCCCUGCGGAUAACAACGGGACGGGAAGCGUUUCCCAGCCCACCCGUGGAUAAAACACAGUGCGGUUUUCCCCUGGGGGAAAUUCCCGAAGAAAUAUUUCCAGGAGAUCAAACUCC
rnacentral:lncRNA from 1 species